CUUAUUAUUUUUCUUAUCCAUCGUUCAGCCCUCGGAGUGCGGAGCAUGCAGAGAGAUUGUUGAUGAGAGAGGGAGAGUAAGGAGAAACCAUGCAGUAUCUGAGGCAACCCAGUGAGCCCAGUGACCGAGCCUGACAACCUGAUCCCCCCGGACAACCAGGGAACAGCAGUCUGGUCAACCCCAAGACCCGGACACACACACAUCUCCAACUGGAGAAAGAGAGAGAAAAAGAGGAAAAGAGAGAAAGAGAGUGUAGACCACCAGAUGUGUGAGAGAGAGCAGAGAGAAGGAGAUGCUCAGAGGGACCGGACAGUGACCAGGAAGGAGACCAUAGGAAGAGAGAGAAAGGAGUGCGACCACUGACAGAACACCUGGGGUUGUAUUGAAAUCUGGAUUGUUUGUAAAGUGGUGUUUGACUUUUGGUUCUGUGCUUCUGUUACUCUGAGAGACAACAGGAGUUCUGAGAGAGUUCUGUGUUACGUCCUGCCUACAGUACUGCCUCUUUGUGGAAGCACUGCGCUACACGACUGCUACAGGUGUUCUGAAGAGGUCAAAAUACUCACCAAAGAGAAGGAGCACAGAAAUAGAACAGAUACAUAGAAAGGAAACAUACAUUUAGUAAGAAAGAAAAAAAUACUUCAGAAAAGCCCAGAAGAACACAGAGGGUAAGAAAGAGAAUAACAGGUCUAGAGACAGACAGAAACAGAUAGACAAAAAGACAGGAUGGCGAACUCGGGUUUCCAGUUGCUAGGUUACUUCCUGGCAUUGGGUGGUUGGAUAGGCAUUAUCUCCACCACUGUGCUGCCGCAGUGGAAGCAGUCUUCGUACGCGGGUGACGCCAUCAUCACGGCUGUGGGGCUCUACGAAGGCCUGUGGAUGAGCUGUGCCUCACAGAGUACGGGACAGGUGCAGUGCAAGGUGUUUGACUCCAUGCUGUCACUGGACGUGCACAUCCAGACGUGUCGUGCUCUUAUGGUGGUGUCCGUGCUACUGGGCUUCAUAGGAAUGAUAGUGAGUGUGGUGGGGAUGAAGUGCACUAAAGUGGGCGACAACAACCCCAUCUCCAAGGGACGCAUAGCUGUGUCUGGAGGAGCCCUCUUCCUGCUCGCAGGUCUGUGCACGAUGGUGUCUGUGUCCUGGUACGCCACUCAGGUGUCCUAUCAGUUCUUCAACCCAAACACGCCAAUUCAAUGCCAGGUAUGAGUUUGGGUCAGCCCUGUUUGUGGGAUGGGCGGCGGCCAGCUUGGCGGUUUUGGGUGGAUCCUUCCUGUGCUGCUCCUGCUCCAAUGAGGAGAGGCGAGGGCAGCAGUACUACCGCCAAUCACAACCAUCCACAGCCAGGGAGGCAGAGUUGUUGAGUGAGACUAGUUUCCCUGACUGACCACCCCCUGCCUUUUUUCGAGGACUGUCCGAGUUACGCUCACUGUUUCCCCUUUCCCUGUUCCUUCCUAGAUUCAAAAUGUGGACCCUUGUCUCUCCGCUAUAGCAUAUGUCGCACCCCUCUCCCUCCCUCCCACCAACCCCACACUCCCUUCCUUAAUGUCUGCACCUUAUCUGUCUCUGAUAUUAACUUAUCGGUCAACAAAAUUUCCACCACACCUUUAAGAGCUUGCCACUCCCCUUUCCCCCACCCCCUUGAGGUUGUUUGUAAAUACGGACUCUGAAAGGAGAAGUAUGGUUGGGUGGUUAGACCCUCCCCUUUCAGACUAGAUGGGCGGCAUUACUGUAUUUCAUCCUGUGAACCCUUUACUAGAAACUCCAUUAUGUCCAUUUAUCGUUUAUUUACUGAACUUUAACUGUAUGAGUAAGAUUUGUCGUGUCAUGUUUUGUUGAUUUCUGCUUCACUGAUAUCCUAUGAUUUCUGGGUUUGUAGAAAUGUGCCUUUUGGUUUGGUUCUCUGAGAAUACAAGUGUACAUUUACUGAAACAUGUUUUUUUCUUUUAAAUUGCAGACCAAAUGUUAAAAGUUCCCCACCAGAGAAAAAGGAGGAAUACUUAUAGUUUGGGCGACUCCUUUGGCCCCACGAUGUGUUAGAUUGUUGGCAAAAGGCAAGACACUGUCUAACAGAAACAGACAAGACACUGUCUCAAUGAAAACAAAAGCAGACAAGACACUCUAUAGGAAACACACUCUCAGAAUGUAACAAAAUAAACUCAGAAUACACUUUUGAAGUAAUACAUCUCCAGACCAACCCAAAUGGGUAACUAGUAUUUUAUCAUUCUUAAAGAUGCCCAUGUGUUAAAUGUUUUAAUGUAUUUUAGAAUCUGUUUUGUACACAAGCAAUAUUGAAGGGUUUUUCUAUAGUAGAGUGUUGUUACAGCAAUAUGCACAGGUAUUGUCCGUGCUCACCUAUGACAAAUAACUGUUAUUUGGAUAAUUGAGAGAGUGAAACUGAAUCUGUACUACUACACAGAAGUGCCCAGGUGCAUAUACCACCACCUCCAGCCUUUCUGCUACAUAUAUGCUCUACUGCAGUGCCUUAUAAUAUGUGUCUGUGUGUAUGUUUUUGACUGUUAUACACGGCUUCCGCAGUGUCACAUCCUAUAUGGAUGAUGCACCCGUAUUGUACCCGUAUUGUAAAACAUAUCCGUGCCCGUCUUUUUCUCUUGCAUUAAAUGAACCAUUCAGACAAACUGUUGCAUGCAGUUCUAUCUCGGAACAUAGAUGUUUACUGUACUGUAGCUAGUAUACCACUUAAAAAACAACAGAAA